GGAUUAGAUACCCCACUAUGCCUGGCCCUAAAUCUUGAUACUUACUUUACAAAAGUAUCCGCCCGAGAACUACGAGCACAAACGCUUAAAACUCUAAGGACUUGGCGGUGCCCCAAACCCACCUAGAGGAGCCUGUUCUAUAAUCGAUAAUCCACGCUACACCCAACCACCCCUCGCCCAAGCAGCCUACAUACCGCCGUCGCCAGCCCACCUCCUCUGAGAGCUCAACAGUGGGCCCAAUAGCCUCACCCGCUAAAAAGACAGGUCAAGGUAUAGCCUACGGAGUGGAAGAAAUGGGCUACAUUUUCUAAGAUAGAAAAUCUAUACGAAAGAAGGCAUGAAAUAGCCUCCGGAAGGCGGAUUUAGCAGUAAAAUGGGAUAAUAAAGCCCUAUUUAAGCUGGCCCUGAGGCACGUACAUACCGCCCGUCACCCUCCUCG
rnacentral:rRNA from 1 species